ensembl:processed_transcript 4933439C10Rik RIKEN cDNA 4933439C10 gene
AGUUAUUGAAGGCGCAGGAUCCCAGGGAAGGAAUGAAGAGCAGGAGGAGGAGGAAGAGGAGGGUGUUUUAGGCCAGGAGAACUAUGGGGUUUCUGUCGCUUCCACUCUUUCAGAUUUGCUGGCUCUUUCCUUCGAAGCCCGGGACAGCAGGCGAGCAGAUCCUCACCUUCCAGCUCGGUCUCUCUGGUGUUUUGGCAGAGGCGGCUCCAAUGCAUGGGCCAGACUCGGUCCCUGGCCAGGCCAACCCUGUCUCGGGAUCCUCUAGAAUGCAUCAGCUGGGCUUGGGAGCGAAGGGAGACGCCUGGAAGAGAAUUGUAUUGCUUCAUCCCCGAGGGCACCUAUGAGGACGCGGCUCUGGGAGCAGGGAUCUGGGCCCGGACGCGGGAAGAGGAGAACAGGGAGCAGGACCCAGGCGCGGGCUGGGGAUCAGAGCGCGGGAAGUGGGGAGCGGGUUCCGGGUUCAGACAGCGGGGCAUGGGAAGCCGGGCCACAGUAUACUCACCGCUGCGCAGCGUCCCGGUUGGCGGGCCGCGUAGGCCGGGCCGCCGCGGAAAGGAAAGGCCGGAGCCCUCCGGCUCCCUCCCCUGGGACACUUCCUGCACCGCUCUAGGACCGAGGAGGUCUCCUCAUCUCAGUGGUUCGCUUCCCCGCCUCCUGGCCGAGGUGUACGCGGGGGGGUGACAUCCGACACCCCCGGCCCGCCUGGACCGCCCCGCCCCGCCCCGCUCCGUGCUCUCCCGGCCUGGGCCCGGGGCCCGGGCUUUAGCUUUGUGGGCCUUCCUAGCGGGCUCGGGAUGCGCGCGCGCGCCCCGGCGGGACCCGGGCGCUGGGGGCCAGUUCGCGCGGCCACCAGCCAGGGAGGCCGGCUUGGGGCUUUGCUCUUCUCUGCUCCUCUUGUGUGGGCGCAGGGAAGGGCUGGUCUGGCGGCGCUGGCGAAAUGCCAGAAUUGGGAGGAGGAGGGAUGAGGUGUAAGGGGAUCUCCCAGUGACCAUUUGCAUCCCGUGUGUGCUGUUGUGCCCCAAUCCCUUCCAGCCGCAAUUCCAUUUCAAAGCCAACGCUGCCAGAGCCACCCAAAUCGGUAGGACUGGAGAAAUGCAGACCCAGCGAUCCACGGUGCUCGCCGAAGCAGCGGCCCGCGGCUUCGUGGCAUGGAGAUGAUCUACGAUUUCUCUGUUUAAGGAAGACUGUAGCACUCUGGGUCCCUCUGAGCACCAGGAUAGUCCUGGUACAUGGUAGGAAGUCACCCUUAAAGAAGGUGGUUUGAUAGAGACACCCCACCACCGGCAGACUUCGUGCUUCCGUUUCCUUCUAAUAAUUGGGACUGGGACAAUCUCUUCCGACUAGUAGAACCUGGAAUAGGGACUAAUAGACUGGAAUCGGAGCACCUGUGUUAAAUCACACCCAUCAAGGCGCAGUCAGGUGAUCUAAGGCCUGCGUGACCUCUCUGUGCUUCAGGGAUCGCAUUUGGAUGCAUGUGCAAGCUGUGCUGUAGCCACCUCAGGUCCUGAAUCUUUAGGACUUGCUGGAGCUCAUUGCUGAUCUAUUUUGGCAGCUCGUUUAACUAGAGGAACAAAGGCUAUUUAAAACCUUUGGUGACGCCGGGCAGUGGUGGCGCACGCCUUUAAUCCCAGCACUCGGGAAGCAGAGGCAGGCGGAUUUCUGAGUUCAAAGCCAGCCUGGUCUAUAGAGUGAGUUACAGACAGCCAGGGCUACACAGAGAAACCCUGGCUCGAAAACAAAACAACAACAACAAAACCCAACUUUGGUGAGUAAGUAGUUGCUUUAAAGGUGAGUGUACAGCCUUGUCCAGGGCCAGUGUGCUGGGGACGCCUCAUUUGCAUACGGAGGGAUUCCAGGUGCUGCUGGACACGACCUUAUAAGGGGAAAGGAAGUUUAACCUGGCUACCGGCUACAUGACCUCCUCUAGUGGGGCAAAGGUGGUGACAAAGGUCUGUGUGUGCCUGUCCAUGCGGGCCCGGUGCAAUCCUACUACUGCUGAUGUAUCUCUGGAUGAGAUUUCCAGGGUCUGGGCAGGCCUCCACCCGACUCUUGCUCCAGGCCUGCUCCCCACGGCUCCCCUGGCCCCCACAUGUAGUCACAUCGUAAGCUUUAUUGUGCAGCUGGAUUGGAUUGAAUGUUGCCUGGAAAUCUUUUCCCAAAUUGUUUUGUGCUUUAAGUAUGCUGACAGUGAACCAACCGCCCGGCGUUAGAUUCCCUGAAGUCUGACCCAGGUGGACGACAUCAGUGAGCACUGGGUUUUCAUUUUCGUCUCUGCCCAGUUUACCUGUCUGACACAUGCAGGGUGACCCCUCAGCUCAUACCGGGGAAAUUCAGACAAUGGACCCCCUAACAUAGAGAUCCAAAAGGAGAACUUAGCGGGUGGGUGCUGUGAGAAGGUCCUGGGUGGAGGGGCCUUGGUUGAUAGGCUAGGGUACAGCCCACUAGCAGAAGGUGUGGUGACCAUUACUAGGAGCAUGUCCUUGUAACCACAUUAGUUUAUCACUGAUUGUGUGGACAGAGCCACAGUUCUAUUCCACUCCUGCAGCCUGAAGGGUUCUAUUUUCCUUUAGUGACCUUCACUCAGACCAAAGAGGUUAGCGGCUUCAAUAAAGAGACAUUUUAAU